UCAUAAUGGGGCAGCUAUAACCUUGCAAGUCGAACGGCAGCGCGAGAGAGCUUGCUCUCUUGGCGGCGAGUGGCGGACGGGUGAGUAAUGUAUCGGAACGUGCCCAGUAGCGGGGGAUAACUACUCGAAAGAGUGGCUAAUACCGCAUACGCCCUACGGGGGAAAGGGGGGGAUCGCAAGACCUCUCACUAUUGGAGCGGCCGAUAUCGGAUUAGCUAGUUGGUGGGGUAAAGGCUCACCAAGGCAACGAUCCGUAGCUGGUUUGAGAGGACGACCAGCCACACUGGGACUGAGACACGGCCCAGACUCCUACGGGAGGCAGCAGUGGGGAAUUUUGGACAAUGGGGGAAACCCUGAUCCAGCCAUCCCGCGUGUAUGAUGAAGGCCUUCGGGUUGUAAAGUACUUUUGGCAGAGAAGAAAAGGUAUCCCCUAAUACGGGAUACUGCUGACGGUAUCUGCAGAAUAAGCACCGGCUAACUACGUGCCAGCAGCCGCGGUAAUACGUAGGGUGCAAGCGUUAAUCGGAAUUACUGGGCGUAAAGCGUGUGUAGGCGGUUCGGAAAGAAAGAUGUGAAAUCCCAGGGCUCAACCUUGGAACUGCAUUUUUAACUGCCGAGCUAGAGUAUGUCAGAGGGGGGUAGAAUUCCACGUGUAGCAGUGAAAUGCGUAGAUAUGUGGAGGAAUACCGAUGGCGAAGGCAGCCCCCUGGGAUAAUACUGACGCUCAGACACGAAAGCGUGGGGAGCAAACAGGAUUAGAUACCCUGGUAGUCCACGCCCUAAACGAUGUCAACUAGCUGUUGGGGCCGUUAGGCCUUAGUAGCGCAGCUAACGCGUGAAGUUGACCGCCUGGGGAGUACGGUCGCAAGAUUAAAACUCAAAGGAAUUGACGGGGACCCGCACAAGCGGUGGAUGAUGUGGAUUAAUUCGAUGCAACGCGAAAAACCUUACCUACCCUUGACAUGUCUGGAAAGCCGAAGAGAUUUGGCCGUGCUCGCAAGAGAACCGGAACACAGGGUGCUGCAUGGCUGUCGUCAGCUCGUGUCGUGAGAUGUUGGGUUAAGUCCCGCAACGAGCGCCACCCUUGUCAUUAGUUGCUACGCAAGAGCCCUCUAAUGAGACUGCCGGUGACAAACCGGAGGAAGGUGGGGAUGACGUCAAGUCCUCAUGGCCCUUAUGGGUAGGGCUUCACACGUCAUACAAUGGUCGGGACAGAGGGUCGCCAACCCGCGAGGGGGAGCCAAUCUCAGAAACCCGAUCGUAGUCCGGAUCGCAGUCUGCAACUCGACUGCGUGAAGUCGGAAUCGCUAGUAAUCGCGGAUCAGAAUGUCGCGGUGAAUACGUUCCCGGGUCUUGUACACACCGCCCGUCACACUCAUGGGAGUGGGUUUCACUCAGAAGUAGGUAGCCUAACCGUAAGGAGGGCGCUACCCACCAGAGUUUUCCACCCCC
rnacentral:rRNA from 1 species